GGCCAAAUUCGUAGGUUUUCAGGAUGAUUUGAAAGUUAUCUAGACAUAAUCCUAAAAGGAACUAUUGCUGGAGUGCAAAAUUUAGAAGAGCAAAGUAAGAAGAUGAGCUUUUCAGAACAACUGCCACGAAAUUUUUCAGCUCUGCAACCCAGAAACACAAGAUUGUCAUAUAAGAAACACAAUUAAAGUUCUUGGCGAUAUGGCUGGUUAACACCAUUGCAGAGAAACAAGCUGAAGCCACAGUCCUUGGUAGGCCAUCAUCGUAUACCACGAGGAUGCUAUUCUGCUGCCAGGAAUGUGGUUACAAGAAACCAGACAAAUGAGAACAAAAACAUCAAUGCCUAAAACUAUCGUAUGUCAACUAUACUUCAGUAACAAACACUAACAUCACAGAAAUGAAGUUGCCAGAGCUGCUGUGUUGGUUUUGCCCAUGAGACCCAUACUUCUCCUGUACACUUGAGAUGGCUGCAUGGUCCCAUGGAUCACAACAUUAAUCUGUGAGAAAAAUAUAUACUGACCAAAAAAGGAAUGGUGUUGAUAUGUUUGUGCCAGAUACAAAAUAUGUUAAGGCAAGAUGGGUUACUAGUGAUAAAGAGAGUUCCUGCCUAAUGAGACAAGAACAAUUAGGAAAAUAGAAACCUCUUUGUGCCUUUUUGCACUUCAUACGAUCACCUCAAAUAUGUGAACCAUAUACCAAAAAGUAAGAAGUUAAUCCAACAUGAGAGUGAAGGUUGUGGCACUCAUUCCUCAGUAAUUGAGUCAUUCCUGCAACAAAUAUUUAUCAAGCAGCUACUCUACCAGCACUGAGAAUACAACAAUGAACACAAUAGGCAAAAAUCCCUGAGCUCAGGGAAUUUGGGUUCUGAGGCUAGAUCAAAUAAUUCCCAAAUUACUAGGGACCCAGAAGAUUUGAAUAGCACAAUAAAUGAUGUUCAUCCAAUGGAUAGAACAUAGAACAUGGUUUUAAAUCACACGUAAAACAUAAAAACCUGACUAUAUUGGUAGGCUAUAAAGAAAAAACACAUACAGGAAUUUAAGAAUUAAUAUCACAUGAAUCAUGUUUUCUGAUCACAAUGCUAUGAAGUGAGAAAUCAAAACUAAAACUGGAGGAAACAUUUUUGCAUCCUUCAGUAAAGCUAAAGAUGUGGCUACCCCAUAACUUCGUAAUUACACUCUUAGGUUUCUACCCUCAAAAGAACCUGGCACAUGUGAACCAAAACAGCAUAGAACCUGUGUCUUUAAAAAAUGGUUGGAAACAAAAGUUCACCUACAAAAAAAUAGGUUAAAACAAUUGUGAUCUAUUCUUAAAUCCAGCAAUAAAUAUUUAUAAUCUACACGUGCACGUGCAUGCAGAAAUAUAAAAGCAAAUCUCAAAAGGUCAAUUUUCAUUUUAUUUCAUCAUAACUAGUUUGAAAUUAUGUACAAUAGAAUAAUAUACUGCUCCCAUUGCAUGACAGUGUGGGAAGGGGUAAAGAAAAGCAAGGGGGCCCAGGCCCAGAAUUUGGGAUUGCAGGAAGAGGAUGAGAUCAGAGGAUUAAUCAUGUUUCUCUUUACCUGGGGACAGGCCACAGGGUUCAGUAAGAAGAAUUCUAAGGUGGACCCAAUGAUCUCUGUCCCCUAGUGCAACUAUGUCACUUAAUAUCGCAAAAGAGAUUUUUAUAGAUGUAAUCAAGGCAAUUUAUCAGUUCAUUUUCAGUUAAUCCAAAGGGAGACUGCGUAUGUCUAACCUGAUCACAAUACUCUUUAAAAGCAGACUUUUCCGGGCACCUGCGUGGCUGAGUUGUUGAGCGUGUCUGUUCAGCUCAGGUCGUGAUCCCCGGCUCCCGGGGUCGAGUCCCGCAUCAGGCUCCCCGCAGGGAACCCACUUCUCCCUCUGCCUGUGUCUCUGCCUCUCUGUGUGUUUCUCAUGAAUAAAUGAAUAAAAUAUUUAAAAAGAAAAAAAAAACAACAGACUUUUCUCCCGCUAGUUGCAGAAUAGGAAGCCAGAGAUUCAAAGCACAGGAAGGAUUUGACUGGCAUGCCCUUGCUGGCUUGAAGGUCUGUCAAAAACUGAGGACUUAAAUCCUUCAACUGCCAGGAACUGAAUUCUGCCAGCAAGACCAGCUUGGACGCCGAUUCUUCCCUAGAACUUCCAAUGAGAAUUCAAGCUGGCCAUCAUUUUUUUUCAAGAUUUUAUUUAUUAGAGAGAGAGAGAGAGAGAGAGAGAGUGAGCGCAUGAGCAGGGGAAGGGCAGAGGGAGAGGGAGAAGCACACUCCCCGCUGUGGGAUGUGGGGCUCGAUCCCAGGACCCUGAAGUCAUGACCUGAACUGAAGGCAGAUGCUUGACCAUCGGACCCACCCAGGCGCCCCAAGCUGGCCAUCAUCUUGACUUCUCCCUUGUGAUAAAACCUCAGCAGAAAGCCCUCCCACCGCUCUGGACUUCCGGCACACAGAGCCCUGAGCUAAUGAACAGGUGUCUUAAGCAGCUGGGUUCGUGGUAAUGCGUUACAGAGCGAUAAGAAACUCCUACAUCAGUACUCAUAUGGUGGUAGUUGUACCUAUUAUACACGUUGUAAAUAUCCUUCGGUGUGACUUCAUUAUUUAAUACGCUUUUUUGUUGUUUGCAGAACAUUAUUUUUAAAGAUUUUAUUUAUUUAUUCAUGAGAGACACACACAUACACACACACAGAGGC